UUGAAAUACUCAAGAAGAGAGAUUCUGACACAAAAGGCAAACACAUUUACCCUCUCCAAGUAUAUCAGCAUUAAGAGAUUUAUAUCUCCAUUGAAUUGUAAGACAAUCAAAGCGUGGAUAGGGAAGCCACUAGCAAUCUCUCAUCAAGGAUCAACUUUGACAUGGUUAUGCUUAUAUCUUUUCUGAAAAAAGGAAUGCUGCAUGUAUCUUGUUCUAUUUUAAUCACAGCAGAAUGCCAGAUGAUUUGCUUAUCAUAAUCUUAUAUAACUUAAAAUACUUUCUGGUGACACUUGCAGCAUGUUUGUCUCUUCUGUCAAGAGGCUGAGGGUGCUGAAGAGCUCCGAUCUUUCUGUGCUAUCUCUGGGAGCAGUCUGCAGGAAAAGAAAUGCAACAGAGUGUUGAAGGAAAGAGGAGAGGGAAUACAUAUUAGCGGCAAUGGGAUAGCAGGUCACAUGUAAAUCCAUUUAGUGAGAAGCCAACGCCUGUUUUUAUUAUUAGCCUUUUCCUGUUUAGGUGCUAAGAUGAUUGUCUAAAGCACGCAGCUCUUUUGUUCAUGACAACCCCCUUUCUUCUUAGACUUUUAAAAUAGACAUUCUUAGCUAUGAAGCUUGAAUCUUCUUCAAGUUA